rnacentral:rRNA from 2 species
GGUAUUGAUUGGUGCUUGCAUCAUGAUUUACAUUUGAGUGAGUGGCGAACUGGUGAGUAACACGUGGGAAACCUGCCCAGAAGCGGGGGAUAACACCUGGAAACAGAUGCUAAUACCGCAUAACAACUUGGACCGCAUGGUCCGAGUUUGAAAGAUGGCUUCGGCUAUCACUUUUGGAUGGUCCCGCGGCGUAUUAGCUAGAUGGUGGGGUAACGGCUCACCAUGGCAAUGAUACGUAGCCGACCUGAGAGGGUAAUCGGCCACAUUGGGACUGAGACACGGCCCAAACUCCUACGGGAGGCAGCAGUAGGGAAUCUUCCACAAUGGACGAAAGUCUGAUGGAGCAACGCCGCGUGAGUGAAGAAGGGUUUCGGCUCGUAAAACUCUGUUGUUAAAGAAGAACAUAUCUGAGAGUAACUGUUCAGGUAUUGACGGUAUUUAACCAGAAAGCCACGGCUAACUACGUGCCAGCAGCCGCGGUAAUACGUAGGUGGCAAGCGUUGUCCGGAUUUAUUGGGCGUAAAGCGAGCGCAGGCGGUUUUUUAAGUCUGAUGUGAAAGCCUUCGGCUCAACCGAAGAAGUGCAUCGGAAACUGGGAAACUUGAGUGCAGAAGAGGACAGUGGAACUCCAUGUGUAGCGGUGAAAUGCGUAGAUAUAUGGAAGAACACCAGUGGCGAAGGCGGCUGUCUGGUCUGUAACUGACGCUGAGGCUCGAAAGUAUGGGUAGCAAACAGGAUUAGAUACCCUGGUAGUCCAUACCGUAAACGAUGAAUGCUAAGUGUUGGAGGGUUUCCGCCCUUCAGUGCUGCAGCUAACGCAUUAAGCAUUCCGCCUGGGGAGUACGGCCGCAAGGCUGAAACUCAAAGGAAUUGACGGGGGCCCGCACAAGCGGUGGAGCAUGUGGUUUAAUUCGAAGCUACGCGAAGAACCUUACCAGGUCUUGACAUACUAUGCAAAUCUAAGAGAUUAGACGUUCCCUUCGGGGACAUGGAUACAGGUGGUGCAUGGUUGUCGUCAGCUCGUGUCGUGAGAUGUUGGGUUAAGUCCCGCAACGAGCGCAACCCUUAUUAUCAGUUGCCAGCAUUAAGUUGGGCACUCUGGUGAGACUGCCGGUGACAAACCGGAGGAAGGUGGGGAUGACGUCAAAUCAUCAUGCCCCUUAUGACCUGGGCUACACACGUGCUACAAUGGAUGGUACAACGAGUUGCGAACUCGCGAGAGUAAGCUAAUCUCUUAAAGCCAUUCUCAGUUCGGAUUGUAGGCUGCAACUCGCCUACAUGAAGUCGGAAUCGCUAGUAAUCGCGGAUCAGCAUGCCGCGGUGAAUACGUUCCCGGGCCUUGUACACACCGCCCGUCACAC